CACGUAGGGGGCAAGCGUUGUCCGGAUUUAUUGGGCGUAAAGAGCUCGUAGGUGGCUCGGUAAGUCGGGUGUGAAAUUUCGAGGCUCAACCUCGAGACGCCACUUGAUACUGCUGUGGCUAGAGUCCGGUAGGGGAGCGUGGAAUUCCUGGUGUAGCGGUGAAAUGCGCAGAUAUCAGGAGGAACACCAGCGGCGAAGGCGGCGCUCUGGGCCGGUACUGACACUGAGGAGCGAAAGCGUGGGGAUCAAACAGG
rnacentral:rRNA from 1 species